rnacentral:rRNA from 1 species
GUGGGGAAUCUUGCGCAAUGGGCGAAAGCCUGACGCAGCCAUGCCGCGUGGAUGAUGAAGGUCUUAGGAUUGUAAAAUCCUUUCACCGGUGAAGAUAAUGACUGUAGCCGGAGAAGAAGCCCCGGCUAACUUCGUGCCAGCAGCCGCGGUAAUACGAAGGGGGCUAGCGUUGCUCGGAUUUACUGGGCGUAAAGGGCGCGUAGGCGGACAUUUAAGUCAGGGGUGAAAUCCCGGGGCUCAACCUCGGAACUGCCUUGGAUACUGGGUGUCUUGAGUAUGAGAGAGGUGUGUGGAACUCCGAGUGUAGAGGUGAAAUUCGUAGAUAUUCGGAAGAACACCAGUGGCGAAGGCGACACACUGGCUCAUUACUGACGCUGAGGCGCGAAAGCGUGGGGAGCAAACAGGAUUAGAAACCCUGGUAGUCC